UCAUUACUGAAUUGAACCCAGCUUUAUGCUGGAAUAUCAUUUCUACAAACACUGUGCACCUUUCUCUAUUUCUUCGGUGGGUCCUUUUUGACUGAACUUGUAUUUUACAAGUGAAGUCAAUAGGAUUAAAUGGUAUUGGCUAAUAAAGCUCUCUGCCCACCGCAUGAUAAACUUCUGUCAUUUGUAAAUAAUGUCUGAAUACAACUUGAAAAUUAUUAAAACUUUCAACAACGGAUCUCUUGGCUCCCACAUCGAUGAAGAACGCAGCGAAAUGCGAUAAGUAAUGUGAAUUGCAGAAUUCCGUGAAUCAUCGAAUCUUUGAACGCACAUUGCACUCCUUGGUAUUCCGGGGAGUAUGCCUGUUUGAGCGUCAGCAAUCCCUCAAUCCUCCAAGGGUAUUUAUUUAUUCUCUUGGGGUGUUUGGUUAUGGAGCGUGUGACUUAUACUCACUGCUUUGAAUUGCAUUGGCCAGAUCUUUUGAAUCGCACUUCAGUGUAUUAGGUUAUUCCAACUCGCUGAAACGUUUCUGUUUUGACUGGCUUAAAACAUGCCUCUUUAAGGGUAACCUUUUUGAGACUUUUGAUUUUGACCUCAAAUCAGGCAGGACUACGGGCUGAACUUAAGCAUAUCAAUAAGCCCAGGAAAAGAAACCAACAAGGAUUCCCCUAGUAACGGCGAGUGAAGCGGGAACAGCUCAAAUUUGGAAUCUGGCGGAUUGCAUCCGUCCGAAUUGUAAUUUCAAGAGGCAUCUUCGGGUUCGGCUCAGGUAAAAGUCCGUUGGAAUACGGCAUCAUAGAGGGUGAGAAUCCCGUCCAUGACCUGGGUCCCGUUCCUAUGUGAAGUGUCUUCAAAGAGUCGAGUUGUUUGGGAAUGCAGCUCUAAAUGGGUGGUAAAUUCCAUCUAAAGCUAAAUAUUGGUGGGAGACCGAUAGCGAACAAGUAGUGUGAACGAAAGAUGAAAAGAACUUUGAAAAGAGAGUUAAACAGUACGUGAAAUUGUUGAAAGGGAAGCGCUUGGGACCAGAGCGCUGCUUUUCAGGAUCAGCAGAGCUUCAAGUUCUGUGCACUCUUGGAUUGCAGGGCCAGCAUCGGUUUGAACGGUUGUAUAAAGGCUUGAGGAAGGUGGCUUUAUCUUCGGAUGGAGUGUUAUAGACUCUUGUGCAAUGCAACCAGUUUGGACCGAGGACUGCAGCUUUAUUGCUUAAGGAUGCUGGCGUAAUGGUCUCAAUCGACCCGUCUUGAAACACGGACCAAGGAGUCUAACAUCUAUGCAAGUGUUUGGGUGUUAAACCCAUACGCGAAAUGAAAGUGAAUGGAGAUGGGAUCCCUCACGGGUGCACCAUCGACCGAUCCUGAUGUUCUCGGAUGGAUUUGAGUAAGAGCAUAGCUGUUGGGACCCGAAAGAUGGUGAACUAUGCCUGAAUAGGGUGAAGCCAGAGGAAACUCUGGUGGAGGCUCGUAGCGGUUCUGACGUGCAAAUCGAUCGUCGAAUUUGGGUAUAGGGGCGAAAGACUAAUCGA
rnacentral:rRNA from 1 species